rnacentral:lncRNA from 1 species
GAUGAUGUUCACCGUGAACUUCCACCAGUCCCCCGCCUUGUCCGCCUUCAGGAUGUGGAUCUGGACGGCUGCAAGGAAGCACAGGCAGACGGGGCCAAGAAGCCUUGCCUCCCACGCUGUGAGGGUGCCACCCAGCACUGCCGUCGGGACAAGCCAUCUCCUGGCCUUGUCAAGGCCCACUUUGUCCAGGAAGCCUACAGGUGCUGACCACGCCCCCAGCACUCUGGGCAAGCUGUCUGCCCAGGGCAGGCGCUCGGGUGAGAGCAGUGCUGGCGGGGAGAGGGAGGUUCCUCAGGGGUGCGCUUCUCCAAAGGCCCAAGUCACUUUACACCAGCCCUCAUGACACUCCACACACAGCCUGGCCCUCCAACCAGCCUCAGAAAACCAUAAUGGGUCCUCAAUGCUCAGGGACAGAAGAUGAGAACCCACCCUUUGGGGUGGCCGUAGUGCCUUUUCCAGAGCCCCGGGAACCUUGGACUGCCGCUUCCCACGCCUAAGCCAUCCCUACCAGGUGGCCUCCCUUCCUCCAUGCCGCCCAAGGUCCCCAGACCAUUCCUCUUACUCCAAAUUCUCUGCCAGUAUUUUCCCUAGUAGAAGGACUUCCCCAAAUGGAGCAUGCAUCAGAAUCCCCUGGCCGGCUUGUGAAAAUACACUGCUGGGCCCCGCCCCAGAGCUUCAGAUUGAACAGAUCUGGGUGAGGCCCUAGAAUAUGCAUUUCUCACAAGUGGUGCCGAUGUCAUUGACUCAGAGGACAAAUGUUACCAGAUGUCAUUUCUGCAAGAUAGUAAGGGAGAUUUCAAAAAUAAGAGACGCUAAAUAAAUGAGAAACUUUGCUCUA